UUAAAAUAAAUAAAUAAAAGUAAAUAUUUCCCGCCAAUAUUUUUUGUCAAAAUAUUCCUGCCAAAAAUAUAUCCUUCAAAUUUUUCCCGACAAAAAAUUCAGGAAGGUUACUACGAAAUUUGGGAAAAAUUUCAUGGAAUUCAAGAAGUAUUUCACAAAAAAGUUUUGGUUAAAUCCUUUCUGAAUUUCAUAAAAUCCUUCCUAAAUUUCAGAAAAUGAUUAUUUGAAAGAUUCAACAAAAUUGUGGAAACUUUCUACAGAAUUCCGGAAGGAUUUUGUGAAAUUCAGGAAGGGUUACAACAAAAAAAUAUUUUGAAUAUCGUAAAACCCUUCCUGAAUUGCUUAGAAUCUUUCCUAAAUUUUGUAAAUUCCUUCCUGAAUUUUUUUAAGUGGGAAAAUAUGGACGUAAUUUUUUGGUGGAAAAUUUUUGACGGAAUCUUGUUUCCCUGAAAAUAUUUUGGCGGAAAAGUUUUUACCGAAAUUUUUUGGCGGAAAAAUCUUGUAGAGAAUUUUUUAGCGGAACAAUAAUGUCGGGAAUUUUUGGUAAUAAAUUUGUGUAUUUUUUGAAUUUUUUAAAUUGUUGAGCCGUGAGCAACUUCAUGCUGAGGACCUUCCACGAAUGGGUGGGCCGUGAGCAGCUUCAUGCCGUUCCUCUAGCGUCCAUAACUAGAAGAGCCACCGGCGAAGCCUCACGUAUCCGUCUGGAAAGCCUCGACUGCAUCACCGACAGGAAGUAUGUCGAUGUCUAAAUCACUGCCUCACUCCCGUCUUCCAAUUUGCAAUCCUUACCCUGUAAUUAAGAUCAGGAAACUCAUAAACUAUAUCUAGAUCUUCGUUUUUGUCUUCAAGAGUGAGAGAGAAAAGCGUCAAAAACGAGGCAACGAUUGUGCCCAAUUCCUUCCCCAUGUUUGGAAAGUUUAUUUGUCCACCUCCUCCAUCCAAAAUGUCUCUUUAUUCAAAAAAAACUGCAGAUUAUUCCAAGUCUCUUAAUAUAAAGAAUCAAUGACAAUAAUUUUGUUUCCAUCCUGUAAACACAUAUAUUAUUAAUUAGAUUAUUUUUCUUCUUCUUUUGAGAUAUUAUUUGCUGGAAUUUGGUUGGAAAUUAGAUUCAACGGGAUUAUCAACUGAAAGUAAUUAAACAUGCAUACAAAUGCAGAUAUAUUCAACGACAAAAUCUCUUCCAAAUAUUUCUUAUUGAUAUUUUGGUCUAUCUCUUUGACAGACAUUUAUUUAUAAGUGAUUCAUAAAUUAUAGAGUUCACAUGUAUUUAUUUUGGGACAAAUGGAGAACAUUAUUUCAGAGUUGUAAUGGUAUGUGCAUCCGAUCGUUUAUGGCUAACAAGAGAAACUCAUAGUAUCCAACCAUAACCAUGUUUCCUCUGUCACUAUACAAAUUCAGAUACUAUGUUUUGUUAGUUCAGUUAAUUCAUAUAAUAUUCAUAUUCGUUCAGAUAUUUGUAAAU
rnacentral:sRNA from 1 species